AACGCACAUUGCGCCCGCGAGUAUUCUCGCGGGCAUGCCUGUUCGAGCGUCAUUUCAACCAUCAAGCCCCCGGCUUGUGUUGGGGACCUGCGGCUGCCCGCAGGCCCUGAAAUCCAGUGGCGGUCUCGCUGUAGCUUCCUCUGCGUAGUAGCAACACUCGCACUGGAUCGCAGCGCGGCCACGCCGUUAAACCCCCCACUUCUGAAAGUUUGACCUCGGAUCAGGUAGGAAUACCCGCUGAACUUAA
rnacentral:misc_RNA from 1 species